GACGAACGCUGGCGGCGUGCUUAACACAUGCAAGUCGAACGGAAAGGCCCUGCUUUUGUGGGGUGCUCGAGUGGCGAACGGGUGAGUAACACGUGAGUAACCUGCCCUUGACUUUGGGAUAACUUCAGGAAACUGGGGCUAAUACCGGAUAGGAGCUCCUGCUGCAUGGUGGGGGUUGGAAAGUUUCGGCGGUUGGGGAUGGACUCGCGGCUUAUCAGCUUGUUGGUGGGGGAGUGGCUUACCAAGGCUUUGGCGGGUGGCCGGCCUGGGAGGGUGACCGGCCACAUUGGGCCUGAGAUACGGCCCAGACUCCUACGGGAGGCAGCAGUGGGGAAUAUUGCACAAUGGGCGGAAGCCUGAUGCAGCAACGCCGCGUGCGGGAUGACGGCCUUCGGGUUGUAAACCGCUUUCGCCUGUGACGAAGCGUGAGUGACGGUAAUGGGUAAAGAAGCACCGGCUAACUACGUG
rnacentral:rRNA from 1 species